CCCAGCGGGAGUUGUAGUUUCUGAUCGGUCCCCACCAACGCGACGGCGGGGGCGGUGGACUACGACUCCCAGGAAGCCUUGCGCGGGCGAGCCCCGAACCCGAGGACGCGGCGAGCGCGGCGCCCGGCCCUCUCCGGCAAGGACUGUCAAUGGAGGCGCGGGUGGUGGGAGCAAGAACAUGGCUGCACCUGGGGCCUGCGCGGCCGCCUGGGUGGGGGAGGGGAGCCGGGGCACGGGGGCGCAAAUCGAGGCCGGGGGUAGCCCCCGCCCGCUCACUGCCCCGAUGCAGCCGGCGUCAGCCACCGUCCGGGACUCGCACCCACUCUUGCACCCCAGAUUCCCUGCCGAUUGCGAGGCCGGAACUCGGCAGAGGCCGGGGAGCCCCAGCCGGCCUGCCGCUCUCGGUGCUCCGCCAAGGGACUUCCUCCGCGCUGCACCACCCUUCGGGACACAAAGAACUUCUGUUAGUUUUGAAAAGCUUGCCUCAAAAGCGUCCGACAGAGACUGCUGUCCCAACUUUGGACGGGCGACGGGAGGGGACUCUCCUGUUUUUAUUUACCGCCCCUCACCCCAGGCUUGCUUUCCUCACGCCCCCUCACUCAACAUUUAGAAGGAAAGUUGAGUGAAAGCCACCGAGUGAGAGCAGAAAACCUGCCGUGUAGCCCGUUUUGUUCUGUCAACCGCGAAGAAAGGUUACCGAAACUUCUCCCCCCGCGACUAAUUCUUUUGCUUCUCAACUUGAGCUCUCGAAUUUCGAAAAGGGUGAGACGUUGCUGUUCACCUAAGCGAAACUCCAAAGUUUACCAAACUCGAGCCCCGAGGGCUUAGACAGUUCUGUAAAGCACAAGAUCGAGUGAUUUUGCGAUUUUUACCCCCCAGCGGAGAUGGGGGGACCACGCCGGCCAUCCUCCCCCUCCCCCUCCUCCUCGGUAGGUGGCGACCACGGCGCUUUUUCCAGCCUUUGUCGCUGGAAAGAAAACUUUCCGAGCAGCCAGGCUUUUGAUGUAGGUCCAAGACCUUCCCUUUGACUCUUCGUUCCAGAUUGGCGUUCCCCAUCUUUCUUGCAAUAGACCGCACCCAUAAGGCAGCCGAAUCUAGAAUUUCCAUGCUGGGAUUCUUUAAGAUAGAGGGAGACUUUAAAGAUCCCUGCAGAAGCGGUCCGAUUGCAGAUUUCCACAUUUUUACGAUUUCCCCUGCAACGUUUUUACAGGCAUUUUGUCCCCGCCUAACUCGAUUGUCACUCUCCUUUGUCGAGUCUCUCCAAAGCGUUCAUUUCGUUUUCAUGAAAAGUUUUCUUUUUGCACUCGUAUUUCAUUAACAUGCCGGACUAUUAAAUUCCGUAUUCCCAGUAGCACGUAAAACUGACAUCUAUGUAAGGAACAAACCAAAUUUUGAGAAAGUCUGCAACUGAGCUGCUGGGAGCAGUCAGCCUUCCAGGGACAAACAUUCAGCCGCUGUGAGCACCGUAGGCUCCAUGCUGGGUGUGGAUCCCUAUGAGGGGCUUGAACUCACGACCCUGAGAUCAAAACCUGAGAUGAGAUCAAGAGGUGGAUGCUUAACCAACUGAGCCACCCAGUUACACCUGAAACUCCGUUAUAUAUAAAUGGGGAAUCAUGCUGCUAUAUGUGAGCAGCCCCGUGGAGAGGCCCAGAUGCUGGGAAAGUGAAGCCAUUGGCCAACAGCCACGUGAGCGAGCUUGGGAACAGAUUCUCCUGCCCCGAUUCCAGGAGGUGACUGCUACCCAACCAUGGCUGGAGUGCAAGCUCCUGGGACGCUCACAGCCAGAAGCACUCCUCCAGCUGCUCCUGGAUUCCUGACCCUCAGAACCAAUACUAGACAGCAGGAGGCUCCGGGUCUUGGCAAAGCAAGCACGUGGCUGAUGCUUGUUUCGUGGCCAGAUGAGCCAACGAAUUGUCUCUCCCGUGGGCUCACGGCCUUUUGGGAAGACACCGUGGUCACUUCUACCUCCCGCCCCUGACAGCCAACCCAGGAGGCUGUGUCUCACAAACGUACUGAAGUCACACCAGGGAACUCCCCAACCACUGCAGUCCCUUCCCUGUUUGCAGAUUUUCUUCCAACCGUUCUCUUCCUUUGGAUCCAGGGAACCAAGGUGCUGAGGCCCUGAGGACACCCUGAGGACACCCAAGGUCCCGGAGAGGAGAAACCCCUCAGCUGUGUGACGCCGGGCAAACUGAUUCACCUCUCUGAGCCAAAUGGGGAAAACAACGGGACGUGAGCCUCAAAGGAGAUCAUGUGUCGGCCAGAGCCUGGUACCCCGCCUGACACGAAGCACGACUCGGCAGGUGUUCUGUUGCUACCGGAUUAAACUGAUUUCUGCAAAAGGUCUGAAAGACGAGAGACAGGAGGUGGUGGUUAGAAAAUGCGGUUUCCGCUCUUCUUUCUCAGCUGCUCCCCGCAGGUGGGCGACCCCUCUCAUGAGACGCUGUCACCGCCGCUGGACGGCCAGUCAGCAUGUGAGGACGCAUAUGAGGACACAGUGAGGAGAUGGCUAUCUAGAAACUAGGAAGUGGGUCCUCCCCAGACCCUGAAUCUGCCACCACCUUGAUCCUGGACUUCCCAGCCUCCGGAACUGUAAGAAGUAAAUGUCUGUUGUUUAUAAGCU